rnacentral:rRNA from 1 species
GUGAGGAAUUUUCCGCAAUGGACGAAAGUCUGACGGAGCAAUCCCGCGUGGGGGAUGAAGGUUUUUGGAUUGUAAACCCCUUUUCUGAAGGAGCAAAUUCUGAGUUAACUUCAGGAAUAAGCGUCGGCUAACUACGUGCCAGCAGCCGCGGUAAUACGUAGGACGCAAGCGUUACCCGGAAUCAUUGGGCGUAAAGCGUCUGUAGGUUUUUUGGUAAGUCUGAUGUUAAAGCCUUGAGCCUAACUCAAGCACGGUAUCGGAAACUGCCAGAAUAGAGGAGCGCAGAGGCGAGUGGAAUGUCGUGUGUAGGGGUAAAAUCCGUAGAUACACGAUAGAACACCAAAAGCGAAGGCAGCUCGCUGGGCGCAUCCUGACACUCAGAGACGAAAGCGUGGGGAGCGAACGGGAUUAGAAACCCUGGUAGUCC